rnacentral:rRNA from 1 species
UCGCGGCCUAUCAGCUUGUUGGUGAGGUAAUGGCUCACCAAGGCGACGACGGGUAGCCGGCCUGAGAGGGCGACCGGCCACACUGGGACUGAGACACGGCCCAGACUCCUACGGGAGGCAGCAGUGGGGAAUAUUGCACAAUGGGCGAAAGCCUGAUGCAGCGACGCCGCGUGAGGGAUGACGGCCUUCGGGUUGUAAACCUCUUUCAGCAGGGAAGAAGCGAAAGUGACGGUACCUGCAGAAGAAGCGCCGGCUAACUACGUGCCAGCAGCCGCGGUAAUACGUAGGGCGCGAGCGUUGUCCGGAAUUAUUGGGCGUAAAGAGCUCGUAGGCGGCUUGUCACGUCGGUUGUGAAAGCCCGGGGCUUAACCCCGGGUCUGCAGUCGAUACGGGCAGGCUAGAGUUCGGUAGGGGAGAUCGGAAUUCCUGGUGUAGCGGUGAAAUGCGCAGAUAUCAGGAGGAACACCGGUGGCGAAGGCGGAUCUCUGGGCCGAUACUGACGCUGAGGAGCGAAAGCGUGGGGAGCGAACAGGAUUAGAUACCCUGGUAGUCCACGCCGUAAACGGUGGGCACUAGGUGUGGGCGACAUUCCACGUCGUCCGUGCCGCAGCUAACGCAUUAAGUGCCCCGCCUGGGGGAGUACGGA